rnacentral:rRNA from 1 species
GACAGAGGGUGCAAACGUUGUUCGGAAUUACUGGGCGUAAAGCGCGUGUAGGCGGCUAUGCAAGUCGGAUGUGAAAGCCCUCGGCUCAACCGGGGAAGUGCACCCGAAACUGCGAAGCUAGAGUCUCGGAGAGGAUCGUGGAAUUCUCGGUGUAGAGGUGAAAUUCGUAGAUAUCGAGAGGAACACCAGAGGUGAAGACGGGUUGCUGGGCCGACACUGACGCUGAGGCGCGAAAGCCAGGGGAGCAAACGGG